rnacentral:rRNA from 1 species
AUGGCCUUGAGCGGCGAGUCCUCCUCCUUGCCGGCGAAGAGCUCGGGCGAAGAUGCGGUCGAAGAGCUCGCCGCCCUCGCACAACUCCAUCACCAGGUGCACGCCCUCGGCGUCCUUGCAGGCCUCGCGGAGCCGCACCACGGCGCCGCCUGCGCCCUCCAGCGCCGACAUGCGCCGCCGGAUCUCCACCUCCCGCUGCAUGUCCUCGGCGUCGGCGGCGCGACGCAGCCGCUUGCGGCGGGUGGUCUUGCAGGUCAGCGCCUCGCCCGUGGCCGCGUGCUCGCAGCGACGCGUCACCCCGAACUCCCCGCGCCCCAGCUCCGCGCCCAGCCGAUACCGCUUGGCGAAGCCCUCCCCGCCGGGCGCGCACUGGUCGUCGUCGCCCAGGGUCGACCUGCGCUUCUUCUUGCAGCAGCAGCUGCCGCUGUUGGCGUCGCUGUCGGGGGGCAGUCGGCGGCGCUGGCCACGGGCAUGAUGGCGGCGGCGGCGCGCCUCCGGGCCAGCAUCCUGGAGGCCGCGAUGACAGAAGGGAGGCACCUGCGUCUCUCAGCUAAUCAGGGGUUUGAAGAGAGACAGUGGUUAAAUAACGAAGAAACCAGUGCUAUGAUGCUCAACCCGCAGAUCUUCAGAAACCCACAUGGUGUGUUACUCGAUGAUCAAGCAUUUACUGUGGACUGUUAUUCCCUGCUGGUUGAUACGGAUGAGUAUGAUGGAAUGAUGGCACGUUCUGGCCCCAGAGCUCAGCAGCAGCAGUUCUGGCCUUACUAUGGUUCAGUUGAUCAUCAUAAUCCCAUGAAGCGGGAAUAUUUUGCUGGCAUAAGCAAGAAUCUUGCUGCACACAGAGGCUCUGACAAUGAAGAAAUCAUCUGCAAGAAGUAUGAAGUGAAAGGUGCAUACAGGUGCCGCCGGCGAACAAUCCUGCCAGAUAACCUUUUUGCUGUAACCGGCAUUCACCCCCCUGUCCCUAAUAUGAUGGCCGACUUCCUCCUUGCAUCUUCAAGAGAGGCUAUUCUGUUUGACAGUCCGUGGAACAAGGGGAUUCUGGUCUUUAGGCCUGGCAUCAAAAACAAGAUUCUUGUCGAGGAUAUAGUACCAUGUGAGUCUCAUAGUUCACAGAAAAUAUUUUGCAAACCUGGUGAGGUUGGACGGCUGAAACCGGCCUUUUGGAGUAUUCUCAGCAAGGCAUGGGAAUCUGGAGUUGACCUGAAGGAUCUCUCAACUCAUGGCAGCUACAUCCUCAGCUCUCAUUUUGACAAGUCCACGUAUAAUACCGUGCUAUCAUUUCUUGGUGUUAGAAGUGUGAGCACCGAGUGGGAGGAACUCAAGGCGAUCGGAGUUAGAUUUGAAUUUCAGGAGGCAUCAGCGUACAUCGGCAGCCGCCUCAUGUCUAUGGCUGCAAGCAAUACGCUGAUCAGAGAGAAUGUGUACUCACUCCUUCGGCUGAUUCGGUUUCUUCAAGAGAAAGUUCUAUCUCCAAGCGAACUCAUCAACAGUGUCAAAGAUGGACAGUGGAUGAAGAGUACUCUCGGCUACAGGUCUCCAAUUGGUUGUAUCAUCUAUGAUUCAGGCUGGGCAGUUGCAUCCUGUAUCAGUAGCCAGCCGUUCCUUGAUGUCAAGUUCUAUGGCGACGACAUCCUUACCUACAAACCACAGCUCAACUUUCUCGGUGUUCUUGUUGAAUUUAAAGACAGCUACAAACUUGUGAUUGAUAAUUUCAAGUUCAGUUCGGCUGCUAUUACUCCUGAGGCUACUGUGCUAAUCCUCAAAUGUAUCCAGCAUGUGAACUCAUGUGAUGCCUUCAUAAGGAAGAUCAAAGAUUUAAAAUGGGUGAAGACCAGUGUGGGGUUCCGUGCUCCUAAUGAAUCUUUUCUUGUGGAUCCUCGAUGGGAGUGCCUUCUAAAGGUCUUUGAUGGGGUUCCUGUAGUUGAUUUCAGAUUUGAUGGGAGUAAGAUUAGUCCCUACAAAACAGAGUUGGAGAAGACCGGGUUGAUAACAAAAUUGGAGGCGGCAUCAAAGGCUAUAGCUCACUUGUUCAAGCAGAUGGUUCUGAACUCAUCACUUCCAAAGGCGAGUGUCCUAGCCCUGCUAGCAUGUUAUCUGCAGCUGAAAACACAGGGCGCACUCCCUGUCGAGCUUUUCAGUUGCAUGCUGAAUGAGAAGUGGUUGCGUACAUCGUUCGGUUUCAGAUCUCCCAAAGAUGCAAUCUUGUUCAAUGCAGAAUGGCAGUGUCUAUCAUCAGUAGCAGACUUACCUUUCAUAGAUGACGGUGACUCUCACCAAGGUUUAAGCAAAGAAAUACAUGGUUAUAAAGAUGAGCUCAAGAAUUUAGGUGUUACUACUGAAGUGAAAGCUGGUGCUAGGUUUGUCAUCAAUGGCAUCAACAUUCCCAAGGAUCCUUUACACUUGUCUGGAGCUAGUGUCUUGUCAUUGCUCAGGUCCAUUCGGAGCUGGUUGGCUUCUUCAAGUAACUUCCCAAAGGGCUUUCUAGAGAAAAUCAAAGGAUGCAGUUGGUUGAGGACAAAAGUGGGGUUCCAAUGUCCUGAUGAGUCGAUCCUGUUUGAUCCAAAGAAUUCUCCCAUUCGCAUAGAAGAUAGCCCUUUCAUUGAUGAAGCAUUCUAUGGCUCAGAGAUAGCCUCAUUCAGAGACGCCCUUGCGGCAAUCGGAGUAUCUGUGGAUGUUAGACACGGACAUGAGCUUGUUGCUCGACAUCUGAAAAGCCACAGAAACAGGGCUACUAUUUCUCGUAUUUACACGUACCUUAAGGAGUGCAAUUGGGAGCCUGCAAACAAGACGAGUGAUUGGAUCUGGAUACCAAAUAAAAAGAAUAGUGGAGAGUGGUUCAUUGCCAAGAACUGGAGCAAAAACACGGAGAAGCUUCUUUCUGCUUGUGUCAAGGUUCUGGUUUGUACCGAUGGAACUAUCGUUCUGUCAAAGAAAGAGGAUGUGUUUAUUCCUGAUGAUCUACUUCUCAAGGAUUUGUUCGACAAGCUUCCUAACCGGUCAUUGUUCAUAUGGUAUCCAUCUUCAAGCCUGUCUUCCAUGUCUCAAGCAAAGCUGAACAACAUCUACGGUAGCAUUGGAGUCCAAGCAAUAUCCAAAGCUGUUGGGAAGAAUGAUUCACUCACAUUGGAAAAUGUCAGCCCAAGAAAAGCUGCUCUGGGUAAGGUCAUCAAUGUUGGUAUGAUAAAACUGGUCCUUGCUUUUCUUGCCGAUCCUGCUCUCGACAUUUCUGCUGAAGGGCGGCACAAGAUAGUUUCCUGCCUGCUCAAUGUGACGGUGCUAGAGACCAGUGAGCCAAUCACGGUGGGAUACAACGUGAAGCUGUCCUCUGGGGCCGUUUUGGAUGUGAAGGCCACACGGAAGCUCCGGUGGGAGAGGGAGAGCUCGAAACUGUACAUGCAGAAAAGCAAGCGUGCACCAGGCUACAAGGAGAAGUUGGAGUUCGCAACGAACUUUGCGGAUGAGAUAUCCCAGGACCCAGGGGCUGCUCUUCGAGAAGGCAGAUCAGACCCCUUUGCUCACGGAGCUCAUUAA